AUUCCAGCUCCAAUAGCGUAUAUUAAAGUUGUUGCAGUUAAAAAGCUCGUAGUUGAAUUUCUGUUGUAGUGACCUAAUGACGCUUUGCGUCGUUUCUGUUGCUCCAGCAUUUUCUCUCGCGCCAUACUUCAUUGUGUGUGUGUCGGGGAUGUUUUACUUUGAGAAAAAUAGAGUGUUUCAAGCAGGCUGUGCCUUGAAUACUGCAGCAUGGAAUAAUGAGAUAGACCUACAUUCCUAUUUCGUUGGUUUAAAGGAAUGAGUGAUGAUUAAUAGGGGUAGUUGGGGGCAUUUGUAUUCGACUGUCAGAGGUGAAAUUCUUGGAUUUGUCGAAGACAGACAACUGCGAAAGCAUUUGCCAAGGAUAUUCUC
rnacentral:rRNA from 1 species